rnacentral:rRNA from 1 species
AUUGAACGCUGGCGGCAGGCCUAACACAUGCAAGUCGAACGAGUGGCGGACGGGUGAGUAAUGUCUGGGAAACUGCCUGAUGGAGGGGGAUAACUACUGGAAACGGUAGCUAAUACCGCAUACCAUCAGAUGUGCCCAGAUGGGAUUAGCUUGUUGGGGGGGUAACGGCUCACCAAGGCGACGAUCGGUAGCGGGUCUGAGAGGAUGAUCAGCCACACUGGAACUGAGACACGGCCCAGACUCCUACGGGAGGCAGCAGUGGGGAAUUUUGGACAAUGGGGGCAACCCUGAUCCAGCCAUGCCGCGUGUAUGAAGAAGGCCUUCGGGUUGUAAAGUACUUUUGUCAAGGAAGCGGUACCUAAAGAAUAAGCACCGGCUAACUCCGUGCCAGCAGCCGCGGUAAUAC